UCCCCUGAGUGAUCGAUGAUGAC
rnacentral:piRNA from 1 species